rnacentral:rRNA from 1 species
UACAUGGGGUGCAAACGUUGCUCGGAAUUAUUGGGCGUAAAGAGCUCGUAGGUGGCUCGGCAAGUCGGGUGUUAAACCCCCAGGCUCAACCUGGGGACGCCACUCGAUACUGCUGUGGCUAGAGUCCGGUAGGGGAGCGUGGAAUUCCUGGUGUAGCGGUGAAAUGCGCAGAUAUCAGGAGGAACACCAGCGGCGAAGGCGGCGCUCUGGGCCGAUACUGACGCUGAGGAGCGAAAGCGUGGGGAGCGAACAGG